AGGAGGAGACUGACUUUGAUGAUAGAGAGCAUUUGAAACCCUCGCCGGAGCCUUCACUAGGGAAUAAUGUCAAUGAUGAUGAUUCGUCUCCUCUCCCGCAACAAUUCAUCAUCCUUCAGUAAUCUCCCCACGCGCUGCCUUCACGGCGCUUCUUCCGACGAAGCAGUUUCCACCUAUUCACGACUCCGAGACAUUUACAACUUCCAUCCACCACCGCCAGCCUCCGAAGAUCCCGAGAGGAAGAAGAAGAAGCCGCCGAAGCCGCAAUACCGACCACCGUCGUCUCUGGAAGGGGUGAAGAAGAUGCACUCCAGUCUCCCCUUCGAUUUCAGGUUCAGCUACACGGAGAGCAGUUCCAGUGUGAGGCCCAUUGGGUUGAGAGAGCCCAAGUACUCCCCUUUCGGCCCUGAUCGAUUGAACCGGGAAUGGACGGGUGUAUGUGCGCCGGCGGUGGAGGAGGAUCCGAAGCUGGAAGAGAUAAGGAGGAAAGAGAGGGAGAAGAUACAGGGCCCACCGCUCACUGAAGCUGAGAGGAAGUUCCUGGUUGAGCUUUGUCAGAGGAACAAAACCAAAAGGCAAAUCAACCUCGGGAGAGAUGGUUUGACUCACAAUAUGCUCAAUGACAUCUACAACCACUGGAAACACGCUGAAGCUGUUCGUGUCAAAUGUCUUGGUGUCCCAACUCUCGACAUGAAGAACGUUAUCUUCCACCUUGAGGAUAAAACGUAUGGGCAGGUGGUUUCCAAGCACUGUGGUACCCUUGUCUUAUAUAGAGGGCGUAACUACGAUCCUAAGAAAAGGCCCAAGAUUCCUUUGAUGUUGUGGAAACCUCAUGAACCCGUCUACCCUAGGCUUAUUAAAACUACCAUUGAUGGUCUAACCAUCGAGGAGACCAAAGCUAUGAGAAAGAAAGGCCUUGCCGUUCCUCCCCUCACUAAACUCGUUUUGUUUCAGCUAAGAAUGGGUAUUACGGUAGUCUUGUUCCAAUGGUGAGAGACGCGUUCCUCGUUACUGAAUUAGUACGAAUUGAUUGCUUGGGACUAGAGAAAAAAGAUUACAAGAAAAUUGGUGCUAAGCUAAGGGAUUUGGUGCCUUGCAUCCUGGUGACAUUUGACAAGGAGCAGGUCGUUAUUUGGAGAGGUAAAGACUAUAAGCCAGCCGAGGACGAAGCUGAAUAUCCUCCAUCCUUCAUUCAUCACGAAGGACUCUGAUGCUGAAGCUCACAAGAUUCUCCAAACUAGAGGCAUCUAAGGAUUCUUCUUCACACCUACGCUUUGUAUAGUAUCGAUCGUUUGUGGUUUUUUUUUUUUUUUUGGUAAAUUAAAAACUACAUAUCAAAAAACAUCUUUUAGUUUCUCAUUAAAUAUUUAAUAAUAGGAAAGA